rnacentral:lncRNA from 1 species
CUGAGUUUUCCCCAGGCUGCUCUAUUUUUGCCUAUAGGUGUGAUUUUGUAGGCAGGCUGCUUCUCUGAGGAUUAGCCUUAGCUGUGUACCUAACAUUAACAUUAGAGAAAUGUCUUAGGUGCCUAUGGGUUUGUUAAUUAUUGCACCCCAGAAUUAAGUAGACUUAUCUAUCUAGUCACAGUAAUACACACUAAUGUUACAUUAGGGUCUUCUCCUAUAAACUCAUAUCAAAGAGCAAGAGAAAAGAAUGUGUGUAGGCUCCCAAGAAAAGUGAGAAAGAGGCUAAAUUAUUCUGAAAUUCAUCAAGAUACUGUGUGAAAAGACUCAAUGAUGCAUCAAACAACAAAUGCCCUGAGACCAAAGUUGUUUAUAACAACUUGUCUGGACAAGGAAGAGAGCUGGGAGCAGCUCUAGUCUUCCUCAUUGAGGGCUGUGCUGAAAGCUGCUAAGGGGUGGCUGAGGAGCAGUUUAUGCCCAGGCCCAGCUGAGGCUCAUCCAGUCUAGUCACCUCAGGCUCACGAUGCAUGAUGGAGAAGGAU